rnacentral:rRNA from 1 species
CCUACGGGUGGCAGCAGUGGGGAAUAUUGGGCAAUGGGCGCAAGCCUGACCCAGCAACGCCGCGUGAAGGAUGAAGGCUUUCGGGUUGUAAACUUUUUUUUUUAGGGACGUAGCAAGUGACGGUACCUGAGGAAUAAGCCACGGCUAACUAUGUGCCAGCAGCCGCGGUAAUACGUAGGUGGCAAGCGUUAUCCGGAUUUACUGGGUGUAAAGGGCGUGUAGGCGGGGACGUAAGUCAGAUGUGAAAUCCACGGGCUCAACCGGUGAACUGCAUUUGAAACUGUGUUUCUUGAGUACUGGAGAGGCAGACGGAAUUCGUGGUGUAGCGGUGAAAUGCGUAGAUAUUAGGAGGAACACCAGUGGCGAAGGCGGUCUACUGGACAGCGACUGACGCUGAGGAGCGAAAGCGUGGGUAGCAAACAGGAUUAGAUACCCUAGUAGUC